rnacentral:rRNA from 1 species
CGAGUUGUAAUUUGUAGAGGAUGCUUCGGGUGCAGGGACCGGUGUAAGUCCUUUGGAACAGGGCGUCAUAGAGGGUGAGAAUCCCGUAUGUGAUCGGCGACCAAGCCCAUGUGAAGCUCCUUCGACGAGUCGAGUUGUUUGGGAAUGCAGCUCAAAAUGGGUGGUAAAUUUCAUCUAAAGCUAAAUACCGGCCAGAGACCGAUAGCGCACAAGUAGAGUGAUCGAAAGAUGAAAGGGACUUUGGAAAGAGAGUGAAAAAGUACGUGAAAUUGUUGAAAGGGAAGCGCUUGCAACCAGACCUGUUUUCGGGUGUUCAGCGGGCGUUCUCGCCCAUGUACUCGCCCGUAUCAGGCCAGCAUCGGUUCUGGCGGCCGGAUAAAGGCUUGAGGAAUGUAGCUUCGCUUCGGGGAAGCGUUAGAGCCUCUUGCGCAAUACGGCCAGCUGCGACCGAGGAUCGCGCUUCGGCUAGGAUGCUGGCGUAAUGGUUGUAAGCGACCCGUCUUGAAACACGGACCAAGGAGUCUAACAUCUAUGCGAGUGUUUGGGUGUUAAACCCAUGCGCGUAAUGAAAGUGAACGGAGGUGGGAACCCUUCAGGGUGCACCAUCGACCGAUCUGGAAGUUUACGGACGGAUUUGAGUAUGAGCAUAGCUGUUGGGACCCGAA